AUUGAACGCUGGCGGCAGGCCUAACACAUGCAAGUCGAACGAGUGGCGGACGGGUGAGUAAUGUCUGGGAAACUGCCCGAUGGAGGGGGCUAACUACUGGAAACGGUAGCUAAUACCGCAUACCAUCGGAUGUGCCCAGAUGGGAUUAGCUAGGAGGUGGGGUAAUGGCUCACCUAGGCGACGAUCCCUAGCUGGUCUGAGAGGGUGACCAGCCACACUGGAACUGAGACACGGUCCAGACUCCUACGGGAGGCAGCAGUAGGGAAUAUUGCACAAUGGGCGCAAGCCUGAUACAGCAAUGCCGCGUGUAUGAAGAAGGCUUUCGGGUUGUAAAGUACUUUCGGCGGGGAGGCGUUACUCAAAGAAGAAGCAACGGCUAACUCCGUGCCAGCAGCCGCGGUAAUAC
rnacentral:rRNA from 1 species